AACGAACGCUGGCGGCAUGCCUAACACAUGCAAGUCGAACGAGACCUUCGGGUCUAGUGGCGCACGGGUGCGUAACGCGUGGGAACCUGCCCUUAGGUUCGGAAUAACUCCCCGAAAGGGGUGCUAAUACCGGAUAAUGUCUUCGGACCAAAGAUUUAUCGCCUUUGGAUGGGCCCGCGUUGGAUUAGCUAGUUGGUAGGGUAAAAGCCUACCAAGGCGACGAUCCAUAGCUGGUCUGAGAGGAUGAUCAGCCACACUGGGACUGAGACACGGCCCAGACUCCUACGGGAGGCAGCAGUGGGAAAUAUUGGGCAAUGGGCGAAAGCCUGAUCCAGCAAUGCCGCGUGAGUGAUGAAGGCCUUAGGGUUGUAAAGCUCUUUUACCCGGGAUGAUAAUGACAGUACCGGGAGAAUAAGCUCCGGCUAACUCCGUG
rnacentral:rRNA from 1 species